ensembl:ncRNA lncRNA:CR45597 long non-coding RNA:CR45597
AGUAUUGACUGGCACGCUUACAUAAGCCUCGUAGUCUGGCGUUGCGAUAAAUAAAGUGCACCAUGUACGGGCAGGGAUUGCUCGGAAGCGGAACCGGUGACAGAUUAUCCUCCGCUAAUUUCUGAACAUGUGAGCACCACAUCCUUUGUGGGCCUUGCUUUUUAACACACCCGCCGGAAGAAGCGUAUUGAUAGCAGCUAAUGCCCGAAUUGGUUGUCGAUACGCCGGGAUUCCGACCAGGGCCUGCUCCUGCAGGAUAAGCUCGAGUGCGGCGGAACAGGAAAUUCCUGCGGGUUUUUGCGUGGGAGUAACGGUGGCAAUUUAUAUAAAUUAUUUAAUUAGAGCAUACACGUCAUAAUGGGAAAGUGGGAUUGCUUCAUCGCCU